AAGACCUGUACCUAUAAUUGCAAACGGGCCCUUCGGGGUGACUGUGCACAUUAUAGGGACUGCCUUCGUAAGGAGGAGGAAGGUGCAGGCAACGGUAGGUCUGUAUGCUCCGAAUCUUCUAGGCUACACGCGCGCAACAGUGGUAAAGACAAUGGGAUGCAACUCCGUAAGGAGAAGCUAAUCCUCGAAACUUUAUCGUAGUUUAGAUUGUGGGUUGCAACUCACCCACAUGACAACGGAAUUCCUAGUAAUCAGAGUUCAUCAUACUCUGGUGAAUAU
rnacentral:rRNA from 1 species